rnacentral:rRNA from 1 species
AUACGGAGGGUGCAAGCGUUGUCCGGAUUUAUUGGGUUUAAAGGGUGCGUAGGUGGCGUGUUAAGUCAGUGGUGAAAGCCUGCAGCUCAACUGUAGAGGUGCCAUUGAUACUGACAUGCUUGAGUAUGGACGAGGUAGGCGGAAUUUGUGGUGUAGCGGUGAAAUGCAUAGAUACCACAAAGAACACUGAUAGCGAAGGCAGCUUACUGGACCAUAACUGACACUGAGGCACGAAAGUGUGGGUAGCGAACAGGAUUAGAAACCCCAGUAGUCC